rnacentral:rRNA from 1 species
GUUAAAAAGCUCGUAGUUGGAUUUCUGGUAGGAUGACUGUGCCCUCAGUAGAGUGUGCGCUGGCGUCUUGCCAUCCUUCUGUUAACCUUUGGGAGCUUCACCGCUCCCUUUGGGGCUCAGAUAUUUUACCUUGAGAAAAUUAGAGUGUUUCAGGCAGGCUAGCGCCGGAAUACAUUAGCAUGGAAUAAUGGAAUAGGACUUUUGCCUCUUCUGUUGGUCAUGGGGUUCGAGUAAUGAUUAAUAGGGAUAGUUGGGGGCAUUAGUACUUCACUGUCAGAGGUGAAAUUCUCGGAUUUGUGAAAGACUAACUUAUGCGAAAGCAUUUGCCAAGGAUGUUUUCAUUAAUCAAGAACGAAAGUUAGGGGAUCAAAGACGAUCAGAUACCGUCCUAGUCUUAACCAUAAACUAUGCCGACUCGAGAUCGGGGGCGAGAACUAUCCGCCUUCGGCACCGUAUGAGAAAUCAAAGUCUUUGGGUUCU